rnacentral:rRNA from 1 species
AUACGGAGGGGGUUAGCGUUGUUCGGAAUUACUGGGCGUAAAGCGCACGUAGGCGGACUGGAAAGUUGGGGGUGAAAUCCCGGGGCUCAACCCCGGAACUGCCUCCAAAACUUCCAAUCUAGAGAUCGAGAGAGGUGAGUGGAAUUCCAGGUGUAGAGGUGAAAUUCGUAGAUAUUUGGAGGAACACCAGUGGCGAAGGCGGCUCACUGGCUCGAUACUGACGCUGAGGUGCGAAAGCGUGGGGAGCAAACAGGAUUAGAUACCCCGGUAGUCC